AUACGGAGGGUGCAAGCGUUGUUCGGAAUUACUGGGCGUAAAGCGCGCGUAGGCGGUCUGUUAUGUCAGAUGUGAAAGUCCUCGGCUCAACCGGGGAAGUGCAUUUGAAACUGGCAGACUUGAGUACUGGAGGGGGUGGCGGAAUUCCCGGUGUAGAGGUGAAAUUCGUAGAUAUCGGGAGGAAUACCGGUGGCGAAGGCGACCACCUGGCCAGAUACUGACGCUGAGGUGCGAAAGCGUGGGGAGCAAACAGGAUUAGAUACCCGUGUAGUCC
rnacentral:rRNA from 1 species